rnacentral:rRNA from 1 species
GACGUAGGGCGCGAGCGUUGUCCGGAUUUAUUGGGCGUAAAGAGCUCGUAGGCGGCUUGUCGCGUCGACCGUGAAACCUCACAGCUCAACUGUGAGCCUGCGGUCGAUACGGGCAGGCUAGAGUUCGGUAGGGGAGACUGGAAUUCCUGGUGUAGCGGUGAAAUGCGCAGAUAUCAGGAGGAACACCGGUGGCGAAGGCGGUUCUCUGGGCAUUACCUGACGCUGAGGCACGAAAGCCAGGGGAGCAAACGGG